rnacentral:rRNA from 1 species
UACGGAGGGUGCAAGCGUUAUCCGGAUUUACUGGGUUUAAAGGGUGCGUAGGUGGGUAGGUAAGUCAGUGGUGAAAAUCUCCGAGCUUAACUCGGAAACUGCCAUUGAUACUCUCUAUCUUGAAUAUCCUGGAGGUGAGCGGAAUAUGUCAUGUAGCGGUGAAAAUGCUUAGAUAUGACAUAGAACACCAAUUGCGAAGGCAGCUCACUACGGGAUUAUUGACACUGAGGCACGAAAGCGUGGGGAUCGAACAGG